AGGUCGUUAGCUCAGUUGGUAGAGCAGUUGACUUUUAAUCAAUUGGUCGCAGGUUCGAAUCCUGCACGACCUACUA
rnacentral:tRNA from 1 species